rnacentral:lncRNA from 1 species
AUCGUUGCUGCCAGUAGCGGAGCAACUCCUAACAGUUCAAGCAGCAGCAUCGUCGAGUCCUCCAUCCAGAUGGGUGAUUUAACAUUUGCGAGUUUAUUUCACUCGAAUCUAAUCACCACUCACUUUUAGCCUCAACAACUUCUUUUUUUUCCUCUUUUUUUUUUGAUCUCGAAGGCUUAUUUUGCUAUCUUCAACCAGCCAAGGUCUAGAAGUAGCCUCGGUGC